UACGAAGGGGGCUAGCGUUGCUCGGAAUUACUGGGCGUAAAGGGCGCGUAGGCGGACAGUUUAGUCAGAGGUGAAAGCCCAGGGCUCAACCUUGGAAUUGCCUUUGAUACUGACUGUCUUGAGUACGGGAGAGGUGAGUGGAACUCCGAGUGUAGAGGUGAAAUUCGUAGAUAUUCGGAAGAACACCAGUGGCGAAGGCGACUCACUGGCCCGUUACUGACGCUGAGGCGCGAAAGCGUGGGGAGCAAACGGG
rnacentral:rRNA from 1 species